rnacentral:misc_RNA from 1 species
UACGGAGGGGGCUAGCGUUGUUCGGAAUUACUGGGCGUAAAGCGCACGUAGGCGGCGUAUCCAGUCAGGGGUGAAAGGCCUGGGCUCAACCCGGGAACUGCCUUCGAUACUGAUAUGCUUGAGUACGGGAGAGGGUAGUGGAAUUCCCAGUGUAGAGGUGAAAUUCGUAGAGAUGUGGAGGAACACCAGUGGCGAAGGCGGCUACCUGGACCGGUACUGACGCUGAGGUGCGAAAGCGUGGGGAGCAAACAGG